rnacentral:rRNA from 1 species
GAUGAACGCUGGCGGCGUGCUUAACACAUGCAAGUCGAACGAGAAAUGUAGACGGAAACCUUCGGGCGGAAGCCUUCAUUUCGAGUGGCGGACGGGUGAGUAACGCGUGGGUAACCUGCCUCAUACAGGGGGAUAACAGUUGGAAACGACUGUUAAUACCGCAUAAGACCACAGCAUCGCAUGAUGCGGGGGUAAAAACUCCGGUGGUAUGGGAUGGACGCGCGUUCGAUUAGCCAGUUGGCGGGGUAACGGCCCACCAAAGCGACGAUCGAUAGCCGAUCUGAGAGGAUGACCGGCCACAUUGGGACUGAGACACGGCCCAAACUCCUACGGGAGGCAGCAGUGGGGAAUAUUGCACGAUGGGGGAAACCCUGAUGCAGCGACGCCGCGUGAGUGAAGAAGUACUUCGGUAUGUAAAGCUCUAUCAGCAGGGAAGAAAAUGACGGUACCUGAGUAAGAAGCCCCGGCUAACUACGUG